GGAGGUCACAGCUCAGUGGUAGAGCGCAUGCUUCACGUGCACAAGGCCCUGGGUUCAAUCCCCAGCACCUCCA
rnacentral:tRNA from 1 species